AUACGGAGGGUGCAAGCGUUACUCGGAAUCACUGGGCGUAAAGCGCGCGCAGGCGGCUAUUUAAGUUGGAUGUGGAAGCCUACGGCUCAACCGUAGAACUGCAUCCAAAACUAUUUAGCUAGAGUGUGGGAGAGGAAGAUGGAAUUAGUUGUGUAGGGGUAAAAUCCGUAGAGAUAACUAGGAAUACCAAAAGCGAAGGCAAUCUUCUGGAACACUACUGACGCUGAGGCGCGAAAGCGUGGGGAGCAAACAGGAUUAGAAACCCCAGUAGUCC
rnacentral:rRNA from 1 species